GUGAUAUAGAUCUCUUUAUAGAUCUUCCCAAGCAGAUGUCGGGUGGUUAAUCUCUCCAUAUAGAGUCAGCCCCUAAGCAGAAAGUGUCUGUUUUUCCUUCUGCAGUUCCCCACUGAGAUUAUCCUCGUGGAUGACGGUUUCUUCCGUUUCCUCCCAACACAUAUAUUGGGAUGGAUUUGCCUAUUGAGUUAUAUCCUCAUAGGAC
rnacentral:lncRNA from 1 species